UACGUAGGGAGCAAGCGUUAUCCGAAUUUAUUGGGUGUAAAGGGUGUGUAGGCGGUCUAAUAAGUCUAAGAUCUAAUUUUGGGGCUUAACUCCAAACCGUCUUAGAAACUGUCAGACUAGAGUAUGGUAGAGGCAAGUGGAAUUUCUAGUGUAGCGGUAAAAUGCAUAGAUAUUAGAAGGAACACCAGUGGCGAAGGCGACUUGCUGGGCCAAUACUGACGCUGAGACACGAAAGCGUGGGGAGCAAAUA
rnacentral:rRNA from 1 species